rnacentral:rRNA from 12 species
UUUAUGAGUUUGAUCCUGGCUCAGAAUGAACGCUAUUAGUAUGCUUUACACAUGCGAGUUGAACGAAAUAAUUUAUUAUUUAAGUGGCGAACGGGUGAGUAAUAUGUAAAAUUUUGCCUUUUAGUUUAGUACA